CCCUCUGUCCUCUUUCAGCAGGCCAAUUUCCAAUCCAAACUGCUAUAUCUCCCACAAUCCCAUUCCUCCACAUUUUGUACAAUAGCCUACUGUGGGGAACCUUAUCGAACGCCUUGCUGAAGGUGCUGCAUGAAUACAUGUUUUGCUGCAAACACUUUACAGUCAAUUAAAUACAUCUGGAAUGUACUCACUGUCAUUAUGUAGGAUAUAAUGUUCAAGGCUAAGAUAAACUGAUUAUUAACCAGGAAGGGAAUCAAGGGUCAUGGGGACAAGGCGGGAAAGUUAGGUUUAGUUCAGGAUUAUCAGAUUGACUGUGGUUUCCUUGAAUGAUGGAGCAGACUCAAUGGGCUGAAUGGCCUACUUCUGUUCCCAUGUUUUAUGGUAAUAUAUGCUAACUUAUAUUUGCACAGCAAGAUCUCAAAACAGUACUGAGGUAAAUAAGCAUUUAAUCUCGAAUUGAAUGAACUGCCAGAGGAAAUGGUAGAUGCAGGUAAAUUUACAAGAUUUAAAGACGUUUGGACAAAAUAAGGACAAUUUUGGAGAGAUAUGCCCCAAACACAAGAAGGUGGGACUGGAUUGGUUCAGGAACACUCUGCAUGAAAAGGCUACCCCUCAGAUCCUUUUUAAAUCUUCCCCCUCUCACCUUAAAUCUAUGUGCUCCAGUUUAGGACUCCCCUACCUGGGAAAUCAUCAUUAGGUACUUAAUUCCAGUUUGUUUUUUUGAAUUCAAAUCCCACCAUCUGCCACAGCGGUCUUUGAACACAGGUGUCUUAUAAUACCACUAGGCCAUCACCUCCCCCAGUCGCUUGAAACUUAAUGAUCAUUGAGAAGUGGUUGCACAGUGACCAAGAUUGGGAACUGAAUAUUGAAGGCUAUUUGAUAUUCCAGAAGAACAGGCAAAAAGAACCAGAGGGAUAGACCACUAUUUCAACAUAAGCCAUAAUGAUGAGUUUCCACUGGUGGUCUGGCAUCUGUAGAUAGAUGUCACUAAAACAGAUUGUUGUCACCGGGACUGCGUGGAUGCAAAGUCAGGAAUUCAGGAAUCAUCGUGAAUUCACAGGUGUUUCACGUUUUGCAUCAGAUUCUGCAGCAGAAAAGGAAAUGAUUGCAAUGUCCUUUUAGUAAUCUCCCUUUUUAAAAAUAAGUUCAGGUAUUUCUUUAGCACUUCAAAUGAACGACUGUCCACAAUCGUUUGAACAUGACAUUCGCUAGGCCACUUUUGGGAUACUGUUUGGAAUACUGUUCAAUUCUAGUCUCUGAUAUAGGCAAGAUAUUGUGAAAUUUGAAAGGGUUCAGAAAAGAUUUACAAGGACGUUGCCAGGAUUGGAGGGUUUGAGCUACAGGGAGAGCCUGAAUAGGCUGGGGCUAUUUUCCCUGGAUAAUCAGAAGCUAAGGUGUUGACCUUACGGAGGUUUAUAAAGUCAUGAGGGGCAUGGACAAGGUGAAUAGUUGUGUUUUUCUCCAGGGUAGGGCAGUCCAAAACUAGAGGGCAUAUGUUUAAGGCAAAUUGGGAAAGAUUUAAAGGGGACCUAAGGGGCGGAAUUUUCACACAGAGAGUAGUGUGUGUAUGGAAUGAGCUGCCAGAGGAGGUGGUCGAGGAUGGUACAAUUACAACAUUUAAAAGGAUUCUGAAUGGGCACGUGAAUAGGAGGGAUUUAGAGGGAUAUGGGUCUAAUGCUGGCAAACGGGACUAAUCUAAUUUAGGAUAUCUGGUCGCCAUGGACAAGUUGGACUGAAGGAUCUGUUUCCGUGCUGUACAGCUCUAUGACUCUAGGAAGCCUCAAGAAAAAAAUGAUAAAGCAUUUUCAAACCACA